rnacentral:rRNA from 1 species
UUCUUUGGAGAGUUUGAUCCUGGCUCAGGACGAACGCUGGCGGCGUGCCUAAUACAUGCAAGUCGAGCGCAGGAAAUCGACGGAACCCUCCGGGGGGAAGUCGGCGGAAUGA